rnacentral:rRNA from 1 species
GGCCUCUCGCGUCAAGAUAUGCCUAGGUGGGAUUAGCUAGUUGGUGAGGUAAUGGCUCACCAAGGCGACCAUCCCUAGCUGGUCUGAGAGGAUGAUCAGCCACACUGGAACUGAGACACGGUCCAGACUCCUACGGGAGGCAGCAGUGGGGAAUAUUGCACAAUGGGCGAAAGCCUGAUGCAGCCAUGCCGCGUGUAUGAAGAAGGCCUUCGGGUUGUAAAGUACUUUCAGUUGUGAGGAAGGGUGUGUAGUUAAUAGCUGCACAUCUUGACGUUAGCAACAGAAGAAGCACCGGCUAACUCCGUGCCAGCAGCCGCGGUAAUACGGAGGGUGCGAGCGUUAAUCGGAAUUACUGGGCGUAAAGCGCAUGCAGGUGGUUCAUUAAGUCAGAUGUGAAAGCCCGGGGCUCAACCUC